rnacentral:rRNA from 1 species
UACGUAGGGGGCUAGCGUUGUCCGGAAUCAUUGGGCGUAAAGCGCGUGUAGGCGGCCAGGUAGGUCCGCUGUGAAAACCCGAGGCUCAACCUCGGGACGUCGGCGGAAACCAUCUGGCUAGAGUCCGGAAGAGGAGAGUGGAAUUCCCGGUGUAGCGGUGAAAUGCGCAGAUAUCGGGAAGAACACCCGUGGCGAAGGCGGCUCUCUGGGACGGUACUGACGCUGAGACGCGAAAGCGUGGGGAGCGAACAGG